ACUCAAAGGAAUUGACGGGGCCCCGCACAAGCAGCGGAGCGUGUGGUUUAAUUCGAGGCUACGCGAAGAACCUUACCUAGGUUUGACAUCUGGCGCUAUCCUGUGAAAGCAGGAGUUCCGCAAGGACGCCAAGACAGGUGCUGCAUGGCUGUCGUCAGCUCGUGUCGUGAGAUGUUCGGUUAAGUCCGAAAACGAGCGCAACCCCCGGGUCUAGUUACAAGUGUCUAGACCGACUGCCUGCGACAAGUGGGAGGAAGGUGGGGAUGACGUCAAGUCAGCAUGGCCUUUACAUCUAGGGCUACACACACGCUACAAUGGCGCGUACAGUGGGAAGCAAGACCGCGAGGUGGAGCGAAUCCUGAAAGCGCGUCGUAGUUCGGAUUGCAGGCUGCAACUCGCCUGCAUGAAGCUGGAGUUGCUAGUAAACGUAGGUCAGCACACUACGUUGAAUACGUUCUCGGGGCUUGUACACACCGCCCGU
rnacentral:rRNA from 1 species